AUUGAACGCUGGCGGCAGGCCUAACACAUGCAAGUCGAACGAGUGGCGGACGGGUGAGUAAUGUCUGGGACACUGCCUGAUGGAAGGGGAUAACUACUGGAAACGGUAGCUAAUACCGCAUACCAUCGGAUGUGCCCAGAUGGGAUUAGCUAGUAGGUGGGGUAACGGCUCACCUAGGCGACGAUCCCUAGCUGGUCUGAGAGGAUGACCAGACAAACGGGAACUGAGACACGGGCCAGACUCCUACGGUAGGCAGCAGUGGGGAAUAUUGCACAAUGGGCGCAAGCCUGAUGCAGCCAGGCCGCGUGUAUGAAGAAGGCCUUCGGGUUGUAAAGUACUUUCAGCGGGGAGGCGUUAACCGCAGAAGAAGCACCGGCUAACUCCGUGCCAGCAGCCGCGGUAAUUC
rnacentral:rRNA from 1 species